AGCAAGGGCCGGGCAAGACCGGUGCCAGCCGCCGCGGUAACACCGGCGGCUCGAGUGGUGACCGUUAUUAUUGGGUCUAAAGGGUUUGUAGCCGGGUUGAUAAGUCUCUUGGGAAAUCUGGCAGCUCAACUGUCAGGCUUUCAGGGGAUACUGUCAAUUCGGAACCGGGAGAGGUGAGAGGUACUUCAGGGGUAGGGGUGAAAUCCUGUAAUCCUUGAAGGGCCCACAUUGGCGAAGGCGC
rnacentral:rRNA from 1 species